ensembl:lincRNA
UUUUCGUCCCUGAAUUACGAUCUCAGCCCAUGUUGCCUCACACUGCCUCUCUGUUAUUAAAAUUCCUUUCUACACAAUUCAUAGGAACAUAAAUCCUUCCUUUAAAGUCUAACCAAUAAUGCUUCCAGAAAAUUAGAUUCUCCGUUUAAAAAAUUGACACUUAACAAUAAUGUGCCUCCUUCCAGUCCUUCCCUCUUUCUGGAAAUCUUAGGACAGGUAGAGACAUGGGGGUGGAUGAAAUGACUUUCAGGAGCCCGUUGCAUGGCCACACCCAUAAUCUACUGGUUGUGCUUGUUUCUUUGCUAUCACUAGUCUUCUAGUCGUAUGACCUGGAAUUAUUACUUAAAAUGUGAUUCAAAUGCUGUGUAAAUAUGGCCAAAAUGUUUGUUUUCUUCAGUGAUGGAAGUAGGAUUAAGCAGGCAGGGAGCAGAGCUCCAGGGUCCACCGGCACAGGAGCCAGCGACAGACCUCACCAGACAAGUCCCCAGAGUGAAUUGUUCCAGUUCCCAUCACAGGCUUUCUCCACCUGACUUAUCCAAAAGGCUGAGAAGCAAUCCCGUCUCAGGCUUUCUCACCAGAUUUGAUUCAUCUGCAUGCUCCAUGAAGGCUCAGUUUCAGAUGAACCAUCAUGCUGAUGUCUGUAGGCACAUCUCAGGAUCCUUUCAGACAGAGGAAUGGGAAGUCGAUGACAUCCAAGCAAGGGGGAUGUGUUUUUCUCCAACUCUGAAGUCCCACUCAACAAGAGGCUAUGGUCUGAAUGUGUGUGUCCUCUCCAGAAUUCAUGCUGAAACCUGAACACCAAUGUGAUAGUAUUAAGAGUGGGGCCUUUAGGAGGUGAUUAAAUCCUGAGGGUGGAUCCCUUGUGAAUGGGAUUAGUGACCUUAUGAAUGGGCUGGAACUUAAAGUAAAAUAAAAAUUAAAAAACAAAAAAAGAAAGGGCCGGGAAAACUGUCUAAGUCCUUUUACCCUUUUGCUUGUGGCCACGUGAGGACACAGCAACAAGGUGCCAUCUUGGAAGCAGAGACGAAAGCAGACACCGAACCUGCCAGUUCCUUGAUCUUGGGCUUUCCCGCCUCCAGAACUGUCAGCAAGAAAAGUAUGUUACCUACAAAUCGCCCAGUCUAAGGUAUUUUGCUAUAGCAGCAUAAACAGACUGAGACAACAGGUAUUGGCCUCUCCCAGAAUCAUGGAGGGCUGUUUUACAUCUGAGUCAGGUGCAGCUGAUGGGGGUCUUUAACUGGGAGUUGGUCAUGGCUGGCCUGCUCUGAUCCUCUGGAAUUUACAGCAGGUACAACGUGGGGAAUGAGAAGUUAAGUCCAAAUUAAAUGAAAAAGCUCCAGAGAAGCAGCUGAUUUUGCUCAGGGUUUUCAUUUUGAAGCAUCUGUAAUUUGGAAUAAUUAGAAGCAUUUCAGACUCUUGUCCAGCCCUAGUCCAGUAGAAAUCCUGGGGACUCUGAGGCCACUUGAGGGGCGAUCGAGGUUGUGAAAAACUGACUCUUAGGAGAGUGACUCAGUCAUCUGCAGCUGCAGUUCCUCUGAAAAUCCCUGAGAGGUACAUGGUCAUCUGGUUUCCCAGAUGAAGAAAUCACAAGCUUCUUUAAAGAACAGCGGGGCAGUUAGGUGAAAAGUGAACAAUACAGUCAGUCCAGCCAUUUGUUCUUUCCCUGUGUGUCAAAUAACUCAUUUCUGCAGGUGCAGCCCUGGUUUUGAAAAUCAGGAGCCUUGUCUCGCAGCUCCAGUUCUGCCACUGACAAGCUGCGACAUGUGGGGAACAUCAGUCAGCCAUCUCUCUGGCUUCAGUUUCUAUACCUAUAAAAUAAGUGUUGGACAGGUUGAAAUUCUUUCAGCCGUAGCAAAACUGUGAUUCUAUGAACCACACCAUUUGUUGUGCUGUCAUGGAAACAGCCUGAGGCUCAGUUAACCUUACUAAUUUCCCCAAAGGACUGACCCGAGGCAGAGUGGUGCCCCUGCUUUAGAAGUCUCCACAGUUCAGGUGAGGGAAGCUGUGCAGGGUGGGAGGAGGGGAAUGGGAAUUCAGCCUGUGGGCUUUGGCAUCUUUGCCCUGGCCCACUCUUUGGGCUAAACGUGUAUGUUCUUUUAAAAGGAGAGAAGGGAGGUCCUUAAACUUGGAAGAGGGAUGACUCCUGCAUUCUAAAUACGGAAUGAAUGGAGUGCUUCCAAGUUUGCAAAUGAGAGCUCUUUUAAAAUGAAUAUUCUUUAAAUAGGGGUCUAUGAACAUUUUUCUAGGGACUAGCCAAGCAUUGACUGUUUUGAGGGAAUUAAUGUUCAGAUUCUCAACUUAGAUGUGUAUGCUUUCUGCCUUAUAAUAUACCUGCUUCUGUAGUUCACAUUUCCGAACUCUUUUUUUCCCCCAGCCAACUUCCGCUUUAUAAAAACACUGUGUGCCUCUCACCCAUCCUGAAUCUCCCGAGGGUGCAUUACUUGCACUGUGAAAACCUGGGUGCCACAGGGACAGCUCUAGAACACGUCUGUCCUGAAGGAGAUUCCCCCGAGAGAGACAUAAGGACAUAUUUUCCUUAGAAAAUACUGGAGAUGAAGGUAUUGGACUUCAUCUGGUGACAAGCCCAGGCUAAGGCUAUUUAUGCCUUAGCUAAGAAUUUGGAUUCAGAAGUGAGACAAUUGUCACAAGGAUACCAGUGAACUUGUUAGAUUUCAAAAAUGAAGUCCAACUUUUUCUGAAAGAAAUAGUCUGAUAUGGCUUCUUCCCACCCCUGGUCCCAUUAGCCCCAUGUCUGUGUCAAACGCUGUUCCCAUGAGUUCUGACCUCCGUGCUUCUUUUUAACAAACUUCU